GUUUACUAGAUGGCGGCCGCAUGUUAUGCCUUGAGAUGACCCACAUGGACGACAUCAGAUGACCUGGACGACGGGGAAGCACCGGCUGGAGCUAUUUCAUAAGUGACAUCACUGAUUUGUCGGGAGAAGCGGAUCUGGCAGCGCAUUGGGAGGGCCCUUGUGAGAUUCUGCUGCUGGGGACCUGUUUACCAAGACUUGGCACCUUCGUAGCGCCAUUCUACAGGCGCCUUGUGGGACUUCCGAACAACGCGUCAUGAACUAGGCCGAGAACCUCUAUGACCACAUCGUCGCUCCGCUGCCGUGUACGUCGGGGGAAGUGCCCUGUGUCCACCCGUUGUGGCAGUCAGUCGCGUGCAGCGCAGAUGCGCCGUUAUCUGCUCGUCAGCGAUUGUCGGGACCAUCGCUGCAUCCCUGGUGACACUGAU
rnacentral:lncRNA from 1 species